UACGAAGGGUGCAAGCGUUGUUCGGAAUCACUGGGCGUAAAGGGCGCGUAGGCGGCCGAUCAAGUCAGGCGUGAAAUUCCCGGGCUCAACCUGGGGGCUGCGCUUGAUACUGAUUGGCUUGAAUGCGGGAGAGGAUAGUGGAAUUCCCAGUGUAGAGGUGAAAUUCGUAGAUAUUGGGAAGAACACCAGUGGCGAAGGCGGCUAUCUGGCCCGUUAUUGACGCUGAGGCGCGAAAGCGUGGGGAGCAAACAGG
rnacentral:rRNA from 1 species